AACGAACGCUGGCGGCAUGCCUAACACAUGCAAGUCGAACGCGUGGAGCGAUCCACGAGUGGCGCACGGGUGAGUAACGCGUGGGAACCUGCCCUGGAGUGUGGGAUAACCCGGCGAAAGCCGGGCUAAUACCGCAUCCGACCUGAGGGGGAAAGAUUUAUCGCUCUAGGAGGGGCCCGCGUCGGAUUAGCUAGUUGGUGAGGUAAUGGCUCACCAAGGCGAUGAUCCGUAGCUGGUCUGAGAGGGUGAUCAGCCACACUGGGACUGAGACACGGCCCAGACUCCUACGGGAGGCAGCAGUGGGGAAUAUUGGACAAUGGGGGCAACCCUGAUCCAGCAAUGCCGCGUGGGCGAUGAAGGCCUUCGGGCUGUAAAGCCCUUUUGCACGCGACGAUGAUGACGGUAGCGUGAGAAGAAGCCCCGGCUAACUUCGUGCCAGCAGCCGCCGUAA
rnacentral:rRNA from 1 species